CACCAAGGUGCAAAUUAAAACUUUCUCCAGAUUCCCAGAACGCAAGCCCUAACGACUUAACCACCCUGAAUCAAGGUCUCCUGACUGAAUUAACCCCAAAAUGGAAUCAACAAAAUUGUAGCUCAAGUGAAUCUUCCAUUGAAAAAUUAU